CCAGUGUUCAGCAACAAGAGAAGCCAUCGCAGUGAAUAGCCCGAGCAUUGCAACUAGAGAGUAGCCCCCACUCGAGAAACCUGGAGAAAGUCCUCAAGCAGCAACGAAGACCCAGCACAGCCAAAAAUAAAUAAGUCUAACCAUUCCAACCCAAAUCUGUGGGUCAGCACUUCAUCAACUGCACCUCUCACUUCGGUACUGGACAGAAAUUGCCCAUUCAAGUUUUUCUCUUAAACCCACAGCACUGCUCUGAGAUAUACCUUGGGAGAGCAAAGUCAGGUCAUGAAAGAAAGAAUGUGGAAAAUUUCUUCCAGAUUAAAGGAGACUAAAAAUACUUGGGAGAUCCAACCAGUCCAUUCUAAAGAUCAGUCCUGGGUGUUCUUUGGAAGGAAUGAUGCUAAAACUGAAGCUCCAGUACUUUGGCC
ensembl:lncRNA